rnacentral:rRNA from 1 species
AUUGAACGCUGGCGGAAUGCUUUACACAUGCAAGUCGAACGGCAGCACGGGGGCAGCCCUGGUGGCGAGUGGCGAACGGGUGAGUAAUACAUCGGAACGUGCCCGGUCGUGGGGGAUAACGUAGCGAAAGUUACGCUAAUACCGCAUACGAUCUGAGGAUGAAAGCGGGGGACCUUCGGGCCUCGCGCGAUCGGAGCGGCCGAUGUCAGAUUAGGUAGUUGGUGGGGUAAAGGCCUACCAAGCCGACGAUCUGUAGCUGGUCUGAGAGGACGACCAGCCACACCGGGACUGAGACACGGCCCAGACUCCUACGGGAGGCAGCAGUGGGGAAUUUUGGACAAAGGGCGCAAGCCUGAUCCAGCCAUUCCGCGUGCAGGACGAAGGCCUUCGGGUUGUAAACUGCUUUUGUACGGAACGAAAAGGCUCUGGCUAAUACCUGGGGCUCAUGACGGUACCGUAAGAAUAAGCACCGGCUAACUACGUG